CCUACGGGAGGCAGCAGUGGGGAAUAUUGCACAAUGGGGGAAACCCUGAUGCAGCGACGCCGCGUGAGCGAUGAAGUAUUUCGGUAUGUAAAGCUCUAGCAGCAGGGAAGAAAAUGACGGUACCUGACUAAGAAGCCCCGGCUAACUACGUGCCAGCAGCCGCGGUAAUACGUAGGGGGCAAGCGUUAUCCGGAUUUACUGGGUGUAAAGGGAGCGUAGACGGUCCUGCAAGCCAGAUGUGAAAGCCCGGGGCUCAACCCCGGGACUGCAUUUGGAACUGUAAGGCUAGAGUGUCGGAGAGGCAGGCGGAAUUCCUAGUGUAGCGGUGAAAUGCGUAGAUAUUAGGAGGAACACCAGUGGCGAAGGCGGGCUGCUGGACGAUGACUGACGUUGAGGCUCGAAAGCGUGGGGAGCGAACGGGAUUAGAUACCCUUGUAGUC
rnacentral:rRNA from 1 species